rnacentral:siRNA from 1 species
UAGCUCAAUAAAAGACUGACGAG